AUCUAUCGGUCGGAGAAGCCCUGACCCACCAGUGCUGAGCAAGGCUAAGUUUGUUGAGAAAGUUCGUCAGAGUAACCAGGCCUGUCAUGACGGAGACUUCCACACGGCGAUUGUUCUGUAUAACGAGGCCCUGGCUGUCGACCCUCAGAAUUGCAUCUUAUACAGUAAUAGAGCUUCAGCCUAUAUGAAAAUUCAGCAGUAUGACAAGGCGUUGGAUGAUGCAAUCAGAGCUCGACUUCUCAAUCCCAAAUGGCCGAAGGUCCUGCUGGUGGGAUGGUGCUUCAGACUGCUGUGAAAACACAACAGAGAGUCUGAAGACUCAGGGAGGAAGAUGACUCUUGGAAACAGAGCUGGCAGUCAGCUGAGGUAAAGAACAAACACCUCAUCACAGAUCCCUGCGAGCGUCCACCCGGCUUUGACCUAGCAUGUUAUGAUGGGGCCCUCCUCAAUCGCUAUCGAACAGGCCAUGGCCGGUGCGCCGCUAUGUUCCAUCGCUGGGGAGCCAAAGACGACCCGAACUGCCCCUGCGCCUCCAGACAGACUAUGACCCACAUAGUCAACGACUGCCACCUCUCCAGAUUCAAAGGAGGUCUCGAAACUUGACAUCAGGCUCAACCUGACGCUGUUGUCUGGCUACGGAAGAAGGGCAAACACUAGAAGAAGAAGAAAGUUCUCAGUCCUUGUUUUAAGGCAUAGAAAUAGUGCGUUUUGAACUAUUUUCCCACAGUAUCAUAUUCACUCUACAAGGUGAGACACUACCUGGCCCCAGAAAGUGUCCUUUUCCUACAGUUGUGAUUAUAUGUCCCCAAAUUGGGCAUUCUGAAACACCUGGGAAG